rnacentral:rRNA from 1 species
AUUGAACGCUGGCGGCAUGCCUUACACAUGCAAGUCGAACGGUAACGGGUCCUUCGGGAUGCCGACGAGUGGCGAACGGGUGAGUAAUAUAUCGGAACGUGCCCAGUAGUGGGGGAUAACUGCUCGAAAGAGCAGCUAAUGCCGCAUACGACCUGAGGGCGAAAGGGGGGGAUCGCAAGACCUCUCGCUAUUGGAGCGGCCGAUAUCAGAUUAGCUAGUUGGUGGGGUAAAGGCCUACCAAGGCAACGAUCUGUAGUUGGUCUGAGAGGACGACCAGCCACACUGGGACUGAGACACGGCCCAGACUCCUACGGGAGGCAGCAGUGGGGAAUUUUGGACAAUGGGCGCAAGCCUGAUCCAGCAAUGCCGCGUGCAGGAAGAAGGCCUUCGGGUUGUAAACUGCUUUUGUCAGGGAAGAAAUCUUCUGGGCUAAUACCCCGGGAGGAUGACGGUACCUGAAGAAUAAGCACCGGCUAACUACGUG